CCUGCGUCCUGCGCAGCUGCGGCUGGGAGCCUGGGAGAGCCUUGUGCACAGAGAUGGGGAGUUCCGAGGCGGCCAGAGGCCGUGUCCGUGCCGCCGGCCGGUCCCUCUGGGGUUUCACCUACUGGCCCCCGCCCGACCCGACCUGGAAGCGAGUCCAUGGUGUUUAUCAACUUCUCAAAACUACCAAAAAGAUUAGGAUCUGCAGCUUUGUCGUUCUGGCAGAACAUAAGCAAGUUAGGGGAGGUAAAUACGGCCUCUGGGCACUGCUGCUGUUCCUUCUUUCUCAUUUUGUCGUGUCCUCAGCUGUGGGCGGCUCCUCACAGAUAAGUCACACACUGGAGCUCUAAACGACCCCAGACUGCUGCUACUCGUUGGAACCGUCUGACCCGGAGAUUCCCCACUAAGCUGUGGAGUACAUCACCGAGACAUGAAACCAUUUCCUCUCUCAUUGUCCCUUCUUCUCUGGAAAUUUCCUUGCCCUAGCCCCAUGUGGGUGGUGACCCCCAUACCUCUGUCUCUGGAAGGUCUCUUGCUGGAAGGGAUUUCCCCUCUCAUAGAACCCUGUCCUUGUGACGCCCAAAUAAAGCUUGUGUGCUAGUCCC